rnacentral:lncRNA from 1 species
GUGGGAAGAGUACCUGAUCAAAAGUCUAAGUCAUUAAUGAAUAUGAUAUGGGAAGGUUGAGCUGCUGUUUAUCUGUUCCUAGAGAUGCUAGAAUUCUGGAGAAUUUUAUCUUUGAAAAUCUUUAAAAUAACACAUGAUGAGUUCCUGUAUGAUAAGAGUUUAAAUUCCUACCACAGUCAUACAUACAUGCUUAUUAGACUAAGAACCAUACAUUUACAUUUUACUGCUCAUGAGCAUCGAGUGUGGUCAAGCUAUGUAGACCCUUAGGAGCUUGUCAUGCGGUUAAAAUCAAGAUCCACUUGCACGUUCACUCCUACAUGCUACUUCUACUCUGGAAGUAUGCAUCCACAUACAUCCACUCAGUUCCAUAUCCAGAGCCACCCAAAAGUAUUCUACUCCUAAUCCGGGAGAGAAUAGCCAAAAACAUUCUCCUAUUUCUAUUUUUCCCUAUGAAAUAAAGGCUCGAGUUAUCUUGGUUACUACCACUUGCUAUAUUAUUUCAGGAGAUGAGUGCUCUAAAAAAAGAAGAAAUGAUACGAGGAAAUAAAAAGGGGCAAGUGCCCGGAACCUCGAAGAAAAGAAAACGUGAGACGAGAGGUAAAAAUGGACAAGUGUCCGACAGUAGAAUUAGGGGUACAAGAUACCCACCUAAGAGAAAAGAAAAAAAAUAAUAGAUCAUCUCAUUCUAGUCAAAACAGCUUCAAAGUGCAAGAAAGGUAUGUAUCCCCUAAAAAGAGCAAAUGUAGAAUUAGACUUUCACCAUUAUUAUCACCAUAAACCAUUUACUUGCCACACAUGCACAUCUUGAUUUGACUUAUUGACUUGUUCUUCUGGAUCCAUAGUUUGACU